rnacentral:rRNA from 1 species
UACGUAGGGGGCUAGCGUUGUCCGGAAUCAUUGGGCGUAAAGAGCGUGUAGGCGGCCCGGUAAGUCCGCUGUGAAAGUCGGGGGCUCAACCCUCGAAUGCCGGUGGAUACUGUCGGGCUAGAGUGCGGAAGAGGCGAGUGGAAUUCCUGGUGUAGCGGUGAAAUGCGCAGAUAUCAGGAGGAACACCGAUUGCGAAGGCGGAUCUCUGGGCCAUUACUGACGCUGAGGUGCGAAAGCGUGGGGAGCAAACAGG